rnacentral:lncRNA from 1 species
ACAAACGGAUGUUCGGAUGGCAUAGGCCAAAUGGGCGAUUCGCCCUUUUUUGUUGUGUUUUGAGGUUCCAACCUAAACUAGUUUCUUCGAUACUUCCCAUAUGAAAUUUAAUACUAUACAAGGAUACAAUACAUGAUUAAAUUUCCCUUUAAUAACUCUUAAAAGAUCAAUAAGAAAGGGUAAAACUUAGCUAAACCAAACCAUACUGAAAAUGAAGCGAAAACGCUACAUACCUCUUGUGUUCUCGCUUACAAACAUUGUUCCCUUUGAUCCACACCCUUCCUUAUGCUUGUAUAGAUAAAAUACAGAGGUUACCAUCUUUAUCAGCCACUAAGCUCUAUCCAAAACUUGAUUUAUAAUGAAAAAGGAGGACGGCAAAGUCUUACCAUGUCGUAAGGAUCAUGUUCGUUUCUUGAUUUUGAGUUGUGGAUGAUGGACUUGCUUCAAAACCCUAAGGAACAUAUUGGAGAGAUAUGUAAUCUCUUCUUAGGCAUGAAAUUUAUGCAAAAUGAGGAAAGAAGAAGACUGUGUCUUCUAUUUAUAGUAAGGUUGAAAAGUCAACCACAUGUGUGCUUACUGAUCCUUCUUCCGACGCCCAUAUUUCUCUAUCCAAACAUCGUAAAAAGAGAAGUCGAGAGUGUUAGAACCUAAAUUUCAUGAACUUAAAUUUGGUAUAUAAUAUGUCCCAAAAAUACCUAAUAUAACACACAAAAUUAAAAAAAGCUUCGUUACAAGGCAAAUCCUUAGUCGGUUUUUCCGCAACUUAAAUUUGAUUUUUCCUAAACUUUAUAUUUUAUAUUCAAACAUCAUACAUAGUCAUAUUAUGACUUUAAACUCAUUUAAAUCAUGCUUAUCAAGUCAUUUACAUAAUAUACAACAUCACAUAAGUACGGGUAUAAUAAUUUCUUUUCAUUAGUGAAGUUUAUUUUUGCAUAUUAUUUGUUGGCUUGUCUAGCAAGCGGUGUUAGGAUCCAUCAUAGUUUUUAUGGGAGUUUGGGUCGUGAUAAGUUGGUAUUAUAGCACUAGUUUGCAUAAGUCUCGCAAUUCAUGAGCAUGCCUAGUAGAGUCUUGUGGAUCGAUACGGACGUUUGUACUUAUCUUUGAGAGGCUAUAGGGCUUUAGGAAACUUACCCUUUAUUGAUUCCUUUCAUGCGAUUUUAUUUUGUCCUUAAGCCUAUAUAUUAAAUUCUUUCCUACCCAUUUUGUACUCAGUUCUGAGUACUCAAUAUCAUAUGGGCACCGACGAGCUUUGAUGAUGAUACAAACAUGAUGAGGGAUUUUUUCUCUUGUGUGGGAGGUUAGAAUAUUAUUGUCGCUUUGCAGAUGAGUUAUUAGAGCCCAAGUGUCACACCUCCUUUUUCCUAUCCCCGAGGGAGAUAUAAGGGAGUUUUUUCAAUUUAAGUGACAAUCAAAACAGGAUUAUUUCAUUUAAAGAUUCAGAGUCACCACUUGGGAUAAUUUAUGGUGUCCCAAGUCACCGGUUUUAAUCCCGAAUCGAGGAAAGAUUGACUCUGUUUUACAGUCCGCGGACACAGAAAUCCGGGUAAGGAAUUCUGUUAACCCGGGAGAAGGUGUUAGGCAUUCUCGGGUUCCGUGGUUUUAGCACGGUCGCUCAACUGUUAUAUUGGCCUAAUUAUCUGAUUUUAAUACAUGUUUUAGCCUAUGGUAUAUUUUAACUUAUUAGCCGCUUUUAAUUAAUUUUAGGAAGAUUUAACGUUAUCUAAAACACAUCUUGAACCAUGCCACAUGAAAUGCACUCGCAGUCCACGACACAUUUUAUUUACGUUGUUCAGAAUUGGAGAUGGGUCACAUGAAAUGCACACCCGAGUUUAAGGAAAUUAAUUUAAAUUACGUGCCUAAAGCAACUAAGCACUUUCAAGUUUGCGAGGGCCAUGGAAAAUUCAACUAAAUAGCACACCUCGAUUCUAUUUGUCAAAGAAAUCUUGAUCUAAUUCUAACAGGGCCAUAAGUUAUGGACAAGAUAUUAUUGUGGAAAACACCCUUCAAUGGCAAGAACUAAUUUUUGGAGCAGCUAAAUUAAUUUCUUUAUAAAAAAUGAGCUAUAUCAGAUUUAAUGCAUCAAACCAAACGGAAACGGAAAUAAACAAACGCAAUCUGUCCCAUUACAAGGGCCAAUAAAGCACUACCAAAAAUUCGAGAUGCCAAAAAUUUGAUAGUAACAAUCGGAUCCAAACACAUGUGUCACAGAGAAAAAUAGAGGGAGAUGCAAAGCUAACCAACUCCUUGCUUCUUAGCUUUACCAUUUGAAAUGGUUGGCAAUUUUUUGCAGAAUACUCAAAUUGGCGUGGAAUUUCAUUUGGCGCAAGAGACAUCAUUUAGGAAAUAAUGAAUGGAAUCAUCAUACUCAAAAUAUAGCAAUGUUAAAACCAUAGUGUCUUUAUGUCCAACAGUACGUUUGCAAAUUUAGAAUACAAUUAAGACACUCCAAUGAAUGCAACCCAAUUAUAAAUAAUCAAGUUAUUUACAAAGUCAUUGUGGCCACAAUUUGGGUAAUCAUCACAGUGCUACUCAUAUUGCCAAAGAAUCUCCCAAACUUUACUGCCGACAUCGAAUUAAUAUGAUAACUUCCAAUAAAAUUUUUAGACGUUCAUACAUGAUGGUUCUCAAACUUGACUGAAGCUAGUUGGAUUUUAUUUAGAAUUAGUCCAAACCAUUAUAUUCACAUUAGGCAACAAACUAUAUUUGAGCACUCCACCUUACUUCAGUGAACAAACAAAAUUCCACUAAUAUAUUCAAAUACUCAAAGUAAAGAAAAAUCUUCCAACAACAACAUAAUAUAGGUAAAUAAAGCGACACUCAUAUAUACAUGCCAAAACAAAUAUAAGUACGGACAGAUAGGAAAUCAAACAACAGUCAUGAUUUAGGAAUAGAAAAGUUCAUCAACCAGCUAGUUCAAUCAAAACAAUAGGAAAUCAAAGUGAUAAAUGGCACCUUUUAAAGAAAUUCGGAUGAAGCCUUUUCCAUUGUUUGAUUCAAUACAAAAUUAAUUCCCAAGUGAAAGCUUCAAAAUAGAGCUUGAAAUAAGCCACAACUGCCGAAUAAUUGAGCGAUGACACCCAGCAAUCUCGGAAGUAACACAGUCCCGCAGAAACAGUAGCAAUUUCCUUUACAAAACCGAAUUUUGGAAGCUCAUUUCCUUCUCAGAUCUGUUUUGUAAGAUUCAAAGAAGCAAUAGAAAACCAUUUUUCAGUUGUUUCGUGUGUGCCGAUGGGGAGAUGAGGAGGAUGAAAGCGAGAUGAGAGAAUCAAGGAGAGGGUAUCACGGCUAGUUGGUGUUUUUCGCAAACAAAGCUGAAGAAGACGACUUAGGGUGUGCCGUUUCUUUAGGGGUUGG